rnacentral:rRNA from 1 species
AUGGAUGACAACCACUGCCCCAUGAUGAGCUGGAAUGUCCGGGACAUGAACACCUCGGCAAAGCGCGAAGCCAUUCGCGAGAUUGCUUUAUUGCAUAGAUUAGCUCUUCUUUGUCUCCAGGAGACGAAGAUAGACGUCUGGGAUCGCGGCCUUGUGUCGGAUACUGGAGGGGCCCUGCUAGCUGAUUGCAUAAUCCUCCUAGCCACAGGAACGAGGGAAGGUGGGACCAUCUUAUGGAACGCAACCCUUGUAUCGGUUUCAUCUCAUAGCAUAGGCCAAUUCGCCAUUACGGCCAAAGUUACAAUGCUGCAGUCGGGCCAGUCCUUUUGGCUCACCACGAUGUAUGGGCCGGCCGACGACACCCGUAAAGACGACUUCCUCCUAGAGAUCUCACGUGCAGCGCCCCCUACAUCCGAACCCUAG